rnacentral:rRNA from 1 species
GACGAACGCUGGCGGCGUGCCUAAUACAUGCAAGUUGAGCGAUGAAGAUUGGUGCUUGCACCAAUUUGAAGAGCAGCGAACGGGUGAGUAACGCGUGGGGAAUCUGCCUUUGAGCGGGGGACAACAUUUGGAAACGAAUGCUAAUACCGCAUAACAACUUUAAACAUAAGUUUUAAGUUUGAAAGAUGCAAUUGCAUCACUCAAAGAUGAUCCCGCGUUGUAUUAGCUAGUUGGUGAGGUAAAGGCUCACCAAGGCGAUGAUACAUAGCCGACCUGAGAGGGUGAUCGGCCACAAUGGGACUGAGACACGGCCCAAACUCCUACGGGAGGCAGCAGUAGGGAAUCUUCGGCAAUGGACGAAAGUCUGACCGAGCAACGCCGCGUGAGUGAAGAAGGGUUUCGGAUCGUAAAACUCUGUUGGUAGAGAAGAACGUUGGUGAGAGUGGAAAGCUCAUCAAGUGACGGUAACUACCCAGAAAGGGACGGCUAACUACGUG